rnacentral:rRNA from 1 species
GACGAACGCUGGCGGCGUGCUUAACACAUGCAAGUCGAACGAAGAGCGAUGGAAGCUUGCUUCUAUCAAUCUUAGUGGCGAACGGGUGAGUAACGCGUAAUCAACCUGCCCUUCAGAGGGGGACAACAGUUGGAAACGACUGCUAAUACCGCAUACGAUCUGACCUCGGCAUCGAGGAUAGAUGAAAGGUGGCCUCUACAUGUAAGCUAUCACUGAAGGAGGGGAUUGCGUCUGAUUAGCUAGUUGGAGGGGUAACGGCCCACCAAGGCGAUGAUCAGUAGCCGGUCUGAGAGGAUGAACGGCCACAUUGGGACUGAGACACGGCCCAGACUCCUACGGGAGGCAGCAGUGGGGAAUCUUCCGCAAUGGACGAAAGUCUGACGGAGCAACGCCGCGUGAGUGAUGACGGCCUUCGGGUUGUAAAGCUCUGUUAAUCGGGACGAAAGGCCUUUUUGCGAAUAGUGAGAAGGAUUGACGGUACCGGAAUAGAAAGCCACGGCUAACUAUGUG